GACGAACGCUGGCGGCGUGCUUAACACAUGCCAGUCGAACGGAAAGGCCCCUUGUGGGUACUCGAGUGGCGAACGGGUGAGUAACACGUGAGUAACCUACCCUUGACUUUGGGAUAACUUCAGGAAACUGGGGCUAAUACCGGAUAGGAGCUCCUGCUGCAUGGUGGGGGUUGGAAAGUUUCGGCGGUUGGGGAUGGACUCGCGGCUUAUCAGCUUGUUGGUGGGGUAGUGGCUCACCAAGGCUUUGACGGGUAGCCGGCCUGAGAGGGUGACCGGCCACAUUGGGACUGAGAUACGGCCCAGACUCCUACGGGAGGCAGCAGUGGGGAAUAUUGCACAAUGGGCGGAAGCCUGAUGCAGCAACGCCGCGUGCGGGAUGACGGCCUUCGGGUUGUAAACCGCUUUCGCCUGUGACGAAGCGUGAGUGACGGUAAUGGGUAAAGAAGCACCGGCUAACUACGUG
rnacentral:rRNA from 1 species